rnacentral:rRNA from 1 species
UAGGGAAUCUUCCACAAUGGACGCAAGUCUGAUGGAGCAACGCCGCGUGAGUGAAGAAGGUUUUCGGACCGUAAAGCUCUGUUGUUGGUGAAGAAGGAUAGAGGUAGUAACUGGCCUUUAUUUGACGGUAAUCAACCAGAAAGUCACGGCUAACUACGUGCCAGCAGCCGCGGUAAUCGUAGGUGGCAAGCGUUGUCCGGAUUUAUUGGGCGUAAAGCGAGCGCAGGCGGAAGAAUAAGUCUGAUGUGAAAGCCCUCGGCUUAACCGAGGAAUUGCAUCGGAAAC